UCUCGGGUGGCUGCAGUGGGGAAUAUUGGACAAUGGGCGAAAGCCUGAUCCAGCCAUGCCGCGUGUGUGAAGAAGGCCUUCGGGUUGUAAAGCACUUUCAGUGGGGAAGAAAGCCUUGGGGCUAAUACCCUCGAGGAAGGACAUCACCCACAGAAGAAGCACCGGCUAACUCCGUGCCAGCAGCCGCGGUAAUACGGAGGGUGCGAGCGUUAAUCGGAAUUACUGGGCGUAAAGCGCGCGUAGGCGGUCUGAUAAGCCGGUUGUGAAAGCCCCGGGCUCAACCUGGGAACGGCAUCCGGAACUGUCAGGCUAGAGUGCAGGAGAGGAAGGUAGAAUUCCCGGUGUAGCGGUGAAAUGCGUAGAGAUCGGGAGGAAUACCAGUGGCGAAGGCGGCCUUCUGGACUGACACUGACGCUGAGGUGCGAAAGCGUGGGUAGCAAACAGGAUUAGAUACCCGGGUAGUC
rnacentral:rRNA from 1 species